rnacentral:lncRNA from 1 species
UGAGCCUCAGAAACUCCAGCUCAUGCCUUCCUGGCUGGCUUCUGUGAGCCCUGAGUCUAGCGGAGCUGCACCCUUCCCCACCUACCUGAGGAUAUUCUAAACCACUCAAGAAGGGCAGGAGCAGUGGGUGAUUAGAAGCCAAUUAAAGAUACAGCCCAGCUCCUCACCAUCUUACCUAUUACCACCUGUGCAAAGAUCACCUGCUGGCACAGGGGUGGGGGGAGGGGGUGGACUAGGAGGGCAAUUUCCGGUUACUGCCCCAGAGAGGGGGCUGUGGCUGUCUUGCCGCCUGUGCCUGGCAGAGGAGGCCAGUGACAGGAGCCACGUCUUAGGGCAAUGACCAGGUGAGGGCUUCAGGCCACCUUGGGGCCCUGAAUCUGGAAUCAAGAGACACGGAGAAUGAGGACCUGUUGUGGGGUCCUCUGUGGACUGAAAACUUUUCUUCACAGCCAGAAAAAUUGCCAGUCGGGAGGGAGAGCGCACUUCGUCUUGGGCCCAACCUCUCUUUGUUCCUGCCCUUCCGGAGUGGCUGGGUGUUCUGCAGCACAGACCUCAGUUCUACCAGGCUGUGAUCUGCCAGCGUUUUAUGAGAGCUGA